UCUAUCACGGAUUUUUAAGUU
rnacentral:piRNA from 1 species